UACAGAGGGUGCGAGCGUUAAUCGGAAUUACUGGGCGUAAAGGGUGCGUAGGUGGUUGAAUAAGUUAGGUGUGAAAGCCCCGGGCUUAACCUGGGAAUUGCGCCUAAUACUGUUCAACUGGAGUACUGUAGAGGGAGGUGGAAUUUCCGGUGUAGCGGUGAAAUGCGUAGAUAUCGGAAGGAACAUCAGUGGCGAAGGCGACUUCCUGGACAGAUACUGACACUGAGGCACGAAAGCGUGGGGAGCAAACAGG
rnacentral:rRNA from 1 species